rnacentral:rRNA from 1 species
AACGAACGCUGGCGGCAUGCCUAACACAUGCAAGUCGAACGAGACCUUCGGGUCUAGUGGCGCACGGGUGCGUAACGCGUGGGAAUCUGCCCUUCGGUUCGGAAUAACUCAGGGAAACUUGAGCUAAUACCGGAUGAUGUCUUCGGACCAAAGAUUUAUCGCCGAGGGACGAGCCCGCGUAGGAUUAGGUAGUUGGUGGGGUAAUGGCCCACCAAGCCGACGAUCCUUAGCUGGUCUGAGAGGAUGAUCAGCCACACUGGGACUGAGACACGGCCCAGACUCCUACGGGAGGCAGCAGUGGGGAAUAUUGGACAAUGGGCGAAAGCCUGAUCCAGCAAUGCCGCGUGAGUGAUGAAGGCCUUAGGGUUGCAAAGCUCUUUUACCAGGGAUGAUAAUGACAGUACCUGGAGAAUAAGCUCCGGCUAACUCCGUGCCAGCCGCCGCCGUAA